rnacentral:rRNA from 1 species
AAUGAACGCUGGCGGCGCGCCUAACACAUGCAAGUCGAACGGGAUUUUUAGGAGCUUGCUCCUGGCAAUCUAGUGGCGGACGGGUGAGUAACACGUGAGCAACCUGCCUUUCAGAGGGGGAUAACAUCCGGAAACGGAUACUAAUACCGCAUAACAUCAUCGGAUGGCAUCAUCUGGUGAUCAAAGGAGCAAUCCGCUGAGAGAUGGGCUCGCGCCCGAUUAGAUAGUUGGUGGGGUAAUGGCCUACCAAGUCUGUGAUCGGUAGCCGGACUGAGAGGUGGAUCGGCCACAUUGGGACUGAGACACGGCCCAGACUCCUACGGGAGGCAGCAGUGGGGAAUAUUGCACAAUGGGGGAAACCCUGAUGCAGCGACGCCGCGUGAGUGAAGACGGUCUUCGGAUUGUAAAGCUCUGUUGAGGGGGACGAUAAUGACGGUACCCCUUUAGAAAGCCACGGCUAACUACGUGCCAGCAGCCGCAGUAACAC